rnacentral:tRNA from 1 species
GCUAUAGUUCAGUGGUAGAGCGCCAGAUUGUGGCUCUGGAUGUCGUGGGUUCGAGCCCCACUAG